rnacentral:rRNA from 1 species
GAGUUUGAUCAUGGCUCAGAUUGAACGCUGGCGGCAGGCCUAACACAUGCAAGUCGAGCGGUAGAGAGAAGCUUGCUUCUCUUGAGAGCGGCGGACGGGUGAGUAAUGCCUAGGAAUCUGCCUGGUAGUGGGGGAUAACGCUCGGAAACGGACGCUAAUACCGCAUACGUCCUACGGGAGAAAGCAGGGGACCUUCGGGCCUUGCGCUAUCAGAUGAGCCUAGGUCGGAUUAGCUAGUUGGUGAGGUAAUGGCUCACCAAGGCGACGAUCCGUAACUGGUCUGAGAGGAUGAUCAGUCACACUGGAACUGAGACACGGUCCAGACUCCUACGGGAGGCAGCAGUGGGGAAUAUUGGACAAUGGGCGAAAGCCUGAUCCAGCCAUGCCGCGUGUGUGAAGAAGGUCUUCGGAUUGUAAAGCACUUUAAGUUGGGUAGGAAGGGCGAGUAAAUU